GAUCAUUAGUGAAUUAGAGCGUCUCUUCGGAGAGCUCAACCUUCAUUUUCCAACUCUGUGCACUAUUGGCGGACUAGUAAGCAAUUAUUAGUCCGCGGCUCAUUUUAAACAUUAGUUAUUGUAUGUAAAUAAAAAUAAAAUAAGAAAAACUUUCAACAACGGAUCUCUUGGCUCUCGCAUCGAUGAAGAACGCAGCGAAAUGUGAUAAGUAAUGUGAAUUGCAGAAUUCAGUGAAUCAUCGAAUCUUUGAACGCACCUUGCGCUCCCUGGUAUUCCGGGGAGCAUGUCUGUUUGAGUGUCAUGAACUCUUCAACCCACCGGUUUCUAGUGAACUAGCUGGUGUUUGGAUUCUGAGUGUUGCUGGCUUGCAAAAGCGAAGCUCACUCGUAAUUGAUUAGCAUCUCAUAUUCGAAAAUCGGAUUGACUCAGUGUAAUAGACUAUUCGCUGAGGACGCUUCCCUUGGGAGGUGGCCGAGUUUUGUAAAGUAGAAGCUUCUAACCUACUAGUCAACUUUAGAUUAGACCUCAGAUCAGGCAGGAUUACCCGCUGAACUUAAGCAUAUCAAUAAGCGGAGGAAAAGAAACUAACAAGGAUUCCCCUAGUAACUGCGAGUGAAGCGGGAAAAGCUCAAAUUUAAAAUCUGGCCGUCUCCGAUGGUCCGAGUUGUAAUCUGGAGAAGCGUUUUCCGCGUCGGACCGUGUACAAGUCUUCUGGAAUGGAGCGUCAUAGAGGGUGAGAAUCCCGUCUCUGACACGGACUACCGAUGCUUUUGUGAUGCGCUCUCGAAGAGUCGAGUUGUUUGGGAAUGCAGCUCAAAAUGGGUGGUAAAUUCCAUCUAAAGCUAAAUAUUGGCGAGAGACCGAUAGCGAACAAGUACCGUGAGGGAAAGAUGAAAAGCACUUUGGAAAGAGAGUUAAACAGUACGUGAAAUUGUUGAAAGGGAAACGCUUGAAGUCAGUCGCGUUGGCCGAGACUCAGCCUGGCUUGCCUGGUGUACUUCUCGGUCGACGGGUCAGCAUCAGUUUUGACCGCCGGAUAAAGGUUGGAGGAAUGUGGCAUCUCUCGGGAUGUGUUAUAGCCUCUGAUUCGCAUANCGGCGAUUGGGANCUGAGGAACUCAGCACGCCUUUAUGGUGCGGGGU
rnacentral:rRNA from 1 species